CGGUGCCCUACUCCCGGGAGUUCAAGCACAAGUACGACUACUUCCGCAAGAAGCUGAAGAAACCUGCUGACAUACCCAACAGAUUUGAGAUGAAAUUACACAGCAAUAACAUUUUUGAGGAGUCCUACAGAAGAAUCAUGUCUGUGAAGAGACCUGAUGUAUUAAAAGCCAGGCUGUGGAUUGAAUUUGAGUGAGAAAAAGGACUUGACUAUGGAGGUGUGGCCCGAGAAUGUUUUUUUCUCUUGUCCAAGGAGAUGUUUAACCCUUACUAUGGUUUCUUUGAAUACUCAGCAACAAAAGAGACAACUACACACUUCAGAUGAAUCCUAAUUCAGGUCUCUGUAACGAAGAUCACCUGUUGUACUUCACCUUCAUUGGCCGGGGUGGCCGGCCUGGCUGUGUACCACGGGAAGCUGCU